UACAGAGGGUGCGAGCGUUAAUCGGAAUUACUGGGCGUAAAGCGCACGUAGGCGGCUUUGCAAGUCGGGUGUGAAAUCCCCGGGCUCAACCUGGGAACUGCAUCCGAGACUGCUUUGCUCGAGUAUGGGAGAGGGAAGUGGAAUUUCCGGUGUAGCGGUGAAAUGCGUAGAUAUCGGGAGGAACAUCAGUGGCGAAGGCGGCCUUCUGGUCCAGUACUGACACUCAAGUGCGAAAGCGUGGGGAGCAAACAGG
rnacentral:rRNA from 1 species